UACGAAGGGGGCUAGCGUUGUUCGGAUUUACUGGGCGUAAAGCGCACGUAGGCGGAUCUUUAAGUCAGAGGUGAAAUCCCAAGGCUCAACCUUGGAACUGCCUUUGAUACUGGGGAUCUUGAGUCCGGGAGAGGUGAGUGGAACUGCGAGUGUAGAGGUGAAAUUCGUAGAUAUUCGCAAGAACACCAGUGGCGAAGGCGGCUCACUGGCCCGCAACUGACGCUGAGGAGCGAAAGCAUGGGGAGCGAACAGG
rnacentral:rRNA from 1 species